rnacentral:lncRNA from 1 species
UUAUGCUACAGAAAAAGUUCCAUACCAAUCAAACACUUGGAACUGUGUAGACUGGCUCCAAAUGGCGAUGCUUGUUUCUCUGGAAAAAAUGGCUUCAUUUCACUUCAGAUCAAUGAAAGAGAGAGGGAGGUGUGUGUGCAUCUCCUGCCACAGCUGUUGAGCUCCCCUCGUACGUGCUCACAUCCGGAGAGACGAGAAGGAGGAGGCGGGGAGGCAGACGUCCGUCCCAGGCUCUGCAGACUCGUGCGUAAUCCGUCUGUUCCCGGAUUCCCUUUAACUUUUCUACAGACUAUUCUCUUUUCCUUUUUCGUGCUCCGAGUGUUUGGAAUGACCAGCUUUCCUGCCUGCGUCGUUUCCAUGUCAGCAUGGGAACUGCCGCGUCCAG